rnacentral:lncRNA from 1 species
AUGUCAGGAAAGGCGACUCUACUAGAGUCACUGUUCUCCUUCCGUCAAGGCUAUUUGAGAAACCUAGCUUUCCCAAAAGAGACCGUUGAAACCCUUGUCCCCAACCUCAACUUGGAGCCACAGACUCAGUCAAAGCACAGACUGGCAACUGAAGAGCCCUCCUGUCUGCCUCCCUGUAUUAGAGCCAAAUCUUCCACCACUAACAGCUUGCCUCUUCUGUUUGCCCCAAUUCCAGAUACCAUCAAGAUGCCCAAGAUGGAAAAAACUGCGCCCCAGAAUGAUUCCAAUGAAGCAGAGAGUGGAGCCCAUAAGCCUGAAACACCAGAGCAGACCCAAGAAAACCAGAGCUCCUGUUUAGAUGACCACUCUGCUGCAAGCCAACCUGAAGUACGUUCUGUCACGGAUCUGAUAGAGACAGUUAACGAAAUUUCUAAGCUCAGCAUUGCUCAUGAAAUCGUGGUAAAUCAAGAUUUUUACAUGGAAGACAGUGUAUUACCUCCCAACAGUCUGGAAGGCAGGAUUAUGGAGACAAUGUACAAGGCUUUUUGGGACCAUCUGAAAGUCCAGCUAUCAAAUACUCCAGCUGACUUCACUGGUGCACUUGAACUCCUAAAAGAAGUUAAGGAGAUAUUGCUAUCACUGCUAUUACCACGCCAGAACAGCCUAAGAAAUGAGAUUGAAGAAGCCCUGGACAUAGAUCUCCUCAAGCAAGAAGCAGAGCAUGGGGCCCUGGAUGUCCCUCAUCUCUCCAAGUACAUUCUUAAUUUGAUGACCCUGCUGUGUGCACCAGUCCGAGAUGAAGCCGUGCGAAAACUAGAGAGCAUAACAGAUCCUGUGCAGUUACUGAGGGGCAUCUUCCAUGUUCUGGGCCUGAUGAAAAUGGACAUGGUGAACUAUACUAUACAGAGCCUCCGCCCCUACCUGAAGGAACACUCUAUCCAGUAUGAACGGGCUAAAUUCCAGGAACUCCUCAACAAGCAACCCAAUCUCCUUGAUUGCACCACAAAAUGGCUAACCAAAACAGCUCUAGACCUCACUGCACCACCUUCAAGUUCUCCUGACUCUCCCAGCUCCUCCAGCAUGGCCCGUUCAUCUCCAAAUUGGGCAGUGGACAACCCACAACUUCCCAGUUCCACAAUGGUGCUAUACCAGGGUUACCUGAACCUUCUUCUCUGGGAUCUUGGCAGUAAAGAGUUUCCCGAGACUCUGCUAAUGGAUAAAAUCCGGCUGCAAGACAUGGAGUCCCAGUUGAAGCAGUUGGCCAUUCUGGCCUCAGUCUUGCUAGUGGCCAGAAGUUUCUCUGGUAGUGCUUUAUUCAGUUCGACUGAAUUUGUGAAUAAACUGAAACGCAUAACCAAGGCCCUGGUGGAGGAAUUUAACUCCAGGCCUGAAGAGGCUAUGGUGAGUGUGAGUGAACAAGUGUCUCAGAAAAUCCAUGAACGCCUCAAAGACAUGGGCCUAACUGCCCUGAGUAGUGAAAAGAAAGCCUCUCUUAGAGGCCAACUUCGGAACAUCGCCAAGAAAGAGAACCGUGUUCGUAGCAUCAUUGAUCAGCGGAUCCACUUGUUUCUCAAAGGCUGUUUGGUUCGUGGGAUGCAGGAGUCUCUGCUAGACUUCCCUGUUGGCCUUAUUUUCAUCAAGGGGGAGCUGACAAAACUGGGUUGGAAGUUUUUCAAUCUGAUGCGUCACAAUCAGCAGGUAUUUAGCCCCUAUUAUGAUGAAAUCCUUAAAGAUAUCAUCCCUCCAGCUCCAGCACAAGAAACAGAAAUGGAGUCUAUCUGA